rnacentral:rRNA from 1 species
GACGAACGCUGGCGGCGUGCUUAACACAUGCAAGUCGAACGGAAAGGCGCUGCUUUUGUGGGGUGCUCGAGUGGCGAACGGGUGAGUAACACGUGAGUAACCUGCCCUUGACUUUGGGAUAACUUCAGGAAACUGGGGCUAAUACCGGAUAGGAGCUCCUGCUGCAUGGUGGGGGUUGGAAAGCUUCGGCGGGUGGGGAUGGACUGGCGGGUUAUCAGCUGGUGGGUGGGGGAGCGGCCCACCGAGCCUUCGACGGCUAGCCGGCCCGGGAGGGGGGCCGGGGACAUGGGGACUGAGAGAGGGCCCAGACUCGUACGGGGGGCAGCGGUGGGGAGUCUUGCACAGUGGGCGGGAGCGUGGUGCGGCGGCGCCGGGGGCGGGAUGACGGCCUGCGGGGUGUGAACCGCUUUCGGCUGUGACGAGGGGUGAGUGACGGUAAUGGGUGAAGAAGCACCGGCUAACUACGUG